rnacentral:rRNA from 1 species
AUUGAACGCUGGCGGCAGGCCUCACACAUGCAAGUCGAGCGAGCGGCGGACGGGUGAGUAAUGUCUGGGAAACUGCCUGAUGGAGGGGGAUAAAUACUGGAAACGGUAGCUAAUACCGCAUACCCUCAGAUGGUGCCAGCUGGGAUUAGCUUGUCGGUGGGGUAAUGGCUCACCUAGGCGACGAUCCCUAGCUGGUCUGAGAGGAUGACCAGCCACACUGGAACUGAGACACGGUCCAGACUCCUACGGGAGGCAGCAGUGGGGAAUCUUGCACAAUGGGCGAAAGCCUGAUCCAGCCAUGCCGCGUGUGUGAAGAAGGCCUUCGGGUUGUAAAGCACUUUUAGCGGGGAGGCGGUACCCGCAGAAGAAGCACCGGCUAACUCCGUGCCAGCAGCCGCGGUAAUUC